rnacentral:rRNA from 1 species
UUCCGGUUGAUCCUGCCGGACCUGACUGCUAUCGGAUUGAUACUAAGCCAUGUGAGUCAUUGUAGCAAUACAAGGCAGACGGCUCAGUAACGCGUAGUCAACCUACCCUAUGGACGGGAAUAACCUCGGGAAACUGAGUAUAAUGCCCGAUAGAACAUUAUGCCUGGAAUGGGUUUAUGUUCCAAAUGAUUUAUCGCCGUAGGAUGGGACUGCGGCCUAUCAGUUUGUUGGUGAGGUAAUGGCCCACCAAGACUAUUACAGGUACGGGCUCUGAGAGGAGUGGCCCGGAGAUGGGUACUGAGACACGGACCCAGGCCCUAUGGGGCGCAGCAGGCGAGAAAACUUUGCAAUGUGCGAAAGCACGACAAGGUUAAUCCGAGUGGUUUCUGCUAAAGGAACCUUUUGUUAGUCCUAGAAACACUAACGAAUAAGGGGUGGGCAAGUUCUGGUGUCAGCCGCCGCGGUAAAACCAGCACCUCAAGUGGUCAGGAUGAUUAUUGGGCCUAAAGCAUCCGUAGCCGGCUCUGUAAGUUUUCGGUUAAAUCUGUACGCUCAACGUACAGGCUGCUGGGAAUACUGCAGGGCUAGGGAGUGGGAGAGGUAGACGGUACUCGGGAGGAAGUGGUAAAAUGCUUUGAUCUCUCGAUGACCACCUGUGGCGAAGGCGGUCUACCAGAACACGUCCGACGGUGAGGGAUGAAAGCUGGGGGAGCAAACCGGAUUAGAUACCCGGGUAGUCCCAGCUGUAAACUAUGCAAACUCAGUGAUGCGUUGGCUUAUGGCCAGCGCAGUGUUGCAGGGAAGCCGUUAAGUCUGCCGCCUGGGAAGUACGUACGCAAGUAUGAAACUUAAAGGAAUUGGCGGGGGAGCAC